rnacentral:rRNA from 1 species
UAACGUUCGGAAACGGACGCUAAUACCGCAUACGUCCUACGGGAGAAAGCAGGGGACCUUCGGGCCUUGCGCUAUCAGAUGAGCCUAGGUCGGAUUAGCUUGUUGGUGAGGUAAUGGCUCACCAAGGCAACGAUCCGUAACUGGUCUGAGAGGAUGAUCAGUCACACUGGAACUGAGACACGGUCCAGACUCCUACGGGAGGCAGCAGUGGGGAAUAUUGGACAAUGGGGGAAACCCUGAUCCAGCCAUGCCGCGUGUGUGAAGAAGGUCUUAGGAUUGUAAAGCACUUUAAGUUGGGAGGAAGGGUUAUAGCCUAAUACGCUGUAACUUUGACGUUACCGACAGAAUAAGCACCGGCUAACUCUGUGCCAGCAGCCGCGGUAAUACAGAGGGU